rnacentral:rRNA from 1 species
GAGAUCGGGAUAACACCUGGAAACAGAUGCUAAUACCGGAUAACAACAGAUGAUGCCUAUCAACUGUUUAAAAGAUGGUUCUGCUAUCACUCUUGGAUGGACCUGCGGUGCAUUAGCUAGUUGGUAGGGUAACGGCCUACCAAGGCGAUGAUGCAUAGCCGAGUUGAGAGACUGAUCGGCCACAUUGGGACUGAGACACGGCCCAAACUCCUACGGGAGGCAGAGUC